rnacentral:rRNA from 1 species
AAGACCUUGCACUUUUGGAGCGGCCGAUGUCUGAUUAGCUAGUUGGUGGGGUAAUGGCCUACCAAAGCUUCGAUCAGUAGCUGGUCUGAGAGGACGGCCAGCCACACUGGGACUGAGACACGGCCCAGACUCCUACGGGAGGCAGCAGUGGGGAAUUUUGGACAAUGGGCGCAAGCCUGAUCCAGCCAUGCCGCGUGAGUGAAGAAGGCCUUCGGGUUGUAAAGCUCUUUCAGUCGGGAAGAAAAGGUUGCGACUAAUAAUCGCAAUUCAUGACGGUACCGAAAGAAGAAGCACCGGCUAACUACGUGCCAGCAGCCGCGGUAAUACGUAGGGUGCGAGCGUUAAUCGGAAUUACCGGGCGUAAAGGGUGCGCAGGCGGUUUUGUAAGUCAGAUGUGAAAUCCCCGGGCUUAACCUGGGAACU